CAACAUUUUCCUUUCCAUAUUUUCCCAAAGAAAACCAAAUUCCCUUCCCCAGAAUUUCACCUAAGAUUUCUGAUUAAGAAGGAAAAUAUUUUCCUGCGUAAUGAAGAUAUCAGGCCUCUUAGCAGCCUCAGUGGCCGCUUCUGCUUCCGCCAUUUCCGCUUCCUCGUCUUCCAAAAUUCACUCUCUGUACGAGGUAAAAUCAUUUCCUUUUUCAAUUAAGUGUUUAUUUGAUAAAGCUUUUAUUGGUUUAAAAAUUGGUUAAAUUUCAUUUUUCAUUACAAAUUUCAUUGGAUUCACAACUUUUCUCCACUUUUUCACCACAUUUUAUCGCACCAACGAUAUUUUAUCGACUUUUAACAAUAUAACACAGCCCCUAAAUUUGAAACCUAUUUUCUAACCGAGAAAAGUAAUUAUUUUGAGAUCUAGCUUUACGUUGAAUUUUGACGAUUUUUUCUGUAAUUUUUAGGAUGCGAUUGUGAGGAAAAAUAGGGAGAAUUCAACAUCGCAGAGGUUGUCUUCUUAUUCUUGUUCCAAUAAAUUUGCUCCAAGAUUCGAUGGAUUACGGUUCAUAGAGACACUGGUUACUGCUCAUAGAUGACUAAAAUAUGUUGUAAAAAAUGAGGAAAAAAAAAGCGUAAUUUUAGUGAUUAUUAAGCUGUUUGUCUUAAACUGUAUUAUAUAUUGGCUAAAAACUAUGAUGAUGUUGAGAGGAAUUUAAGGAAAAAAAUUGAGUAGACUGUCAAUGAUAAUGAGAGAUGAAUUGAUGUGCAC
rnacentral:lncRNA from 1 species